GUUUCACCCAAUUGUCACAAAGCAAGAAACACAAGCCCAGUGUGCGGCAGACAAGGCUCUGGACAAAGGGCUGUUUUCAUCGCCCCUCUCCCCAGCUCAGGGAUGGAACUCUGGACCUUGUGCUUGCAAAGCAGGCGGCAGAACCACUGAGCUAAAUGCCUGGCCCUCUAACUGCAUUUUGAUAAACACCGAUUGUCAUGCCGAAGUGACCUUGUCACAGAAGGGCCUUUCUCUGAGCACAUCCCACCUGGAGUCGUCUGGCCUUGUGUUUUCACUGUGUUCAGCUUUGCUUAUGCUGGACUGAGGCCAGAGGCCGGUCCUGGAGUCUCACCCCCAAGGUUACAUGGGUGUGUUGCAGCAAAGCCUGGGCACCUCCUGCCUGGGCCCCUCUUCCUUCCUUAGGGAGCCUCCCCAAGGGCAGUGGUGCAGAAAAUUCUCCCCUUCCCUGAUAACAGCCCCAGAAGCAAUGGCACUGAGGUGCCCACUCGUGGGGUGUGAGCUUUUCCCAGGCCUCUCUUACACCGAGGAGGGAGCACGGGGAGGCUUAGGCAAGAGAGCCUUUGGGGUUUCACCAUCUGCAGGAGUGAACUCAGCCCCUCCAGGACCGAAUCUGUGAUGAAGCAGGC
rnacentral:lncRNA from 1 species